AACGAACGCUGGCGGCAGGCCUAACACAUGCAAGUCGAGCGAGCAUUUCGGUGCUAGCGGCGGACGGGUGAGUAACGCGUGGGAACGUACCCUUUUCUGCGGAAUAGUCCUGGGAAACUGGGGGUAAUACCGCAUACGCCCUUUUGGGGAAAGAUUUAUCGGAGAAGGAUCGGCCCGCGUUGGAUUAGGUAGUUGGUGGGGUAAUGGCCCACCAAGCCGACGAUCCAUAGCUGGUUUGAGAGGAUGAUCAGCCACACUGGGACUGAGACACGGCCCAGACUCCUACGGGAAGCAGCAGUGGGGAAUCUUAGACAAUGGGGGCAACCCUGAUCUAGCCAUGCCGCGUGAGUGAUGAAGGCCUUAGGGUUGUAAAGCUCUUUCAGCUGGGAAGAUAAUGACGGUACCAGCAGAAGAAGCCCCGGCUAACUCCGUG
rnacentral:rRNA from 1 species